UGAGUCAAUGAUGGCCAGUGAUGAUGUAUGAAUCGGGAUCAUAGCUACAGGUCUGGUCGUCAGAGGUCCAC
ensembl:snoRNA Gm23600 predicted gene, 23600